rnacentral:sRNA from 1 species
GCGAUGAGCUGAAUUGUGUAAGUCGAGAGACAUGCCAACUGGCAAAAUGCACGAUGUGGCGUGCAGUCUUUCGCCUCAAUACGCAAAAAGACGUCUUUUAGACGUCUU